rnacentral:rRNA from 1 species
CAGUAGCCGCGGUAAUACGUAGGUGGCAAGCGUUGUCCGGAUUUAUUGGGCGUAAAGCGAGCGCAGGCGGUUUCUUAAGUCUGAUGUGAAAGCCCCCGGCUCAACCGGGGAGGGUCAUUGGAAACUGGGAGACUUGAGUGCAGAAGAGGAGAGUGGAAUUCCAUGUGUGGCGGUGAAAUGCGUAGAUAUAUGGAGGAACACCAGUGGCGAAGGCGGCUCUCUGGUCUGUAACUGACGCUGAGGCUCGAAAGCGUGGGGAGCGAACAGGAUUAGAUACCCCUGUAGUCCCUGUCUCUUAUAC